rnacentral:lncRNA from 1 species
GCUCAGCUUCACCUAUAAUGAAAAUAAAUACGUCAUCAAUGUAUUCUUUGACGCCAGAAAUCCCUUCAAAAAAGCUUCCCUUGAGCUGCCUGUACAUUAGCAGGAGCAGAGGCUAACCCGUAAUACAACAAGUUAUAUUUUAAUAAGCCUAAAGGUGUAUGAAUUACAAUUUUUUUUUUAGAAGUUUUAUCCAAUUUGUACUGUUCAUAACAUCGUGUGAAUCCAAGUUUGGAGAAAUACGAGCUCCAGACAACCAGGUGAAUAUUUCAUCCGGGUGACGCAAUUGAUACAGUUGCUUAUUAAUAAUAUGUGAGAAAGUCUUUGUAAAAUCAGCACAAAUGUGUACCUUAUUAUCGGGAUUCACUAGAGUUACGAUAGGUGAGGCCAAUUCCGAAGUAUGUACCUGCUUCAGAGUACCACGACUAACUAUAGACUUAAUUUUAUCGUUAACAAUAUCAUGAAGAGCUAAAGGUACAUGGCAAGUACGAAUACAUCGAGGACGUACGUCUUCACAAACAUGAACUGUGGCUUUGGUGUGAUUUAUUGUUAGACCCGGAGUUUCUUUGAAGAUUCCAGAAAAUUCACGGUUGACAACAUCGAUUUCGCUAUGCUUCCCCUUGACUGUGCAGCACAGUGGAGCUGAAUUGUUCAGUCUUACGAGAUCUAAAUCUAAGCAAGAGCCAAAUCCUAAGAUAGUGAAACAGGGAGACACGCCGAACCUAUUGUGGGUACAUUGCCACCUCCAAAAAUCUCUACAUAAGAAUUAUAUUUGGGGAAAGAGGCACCCGGAACCAUAUGACCUGGGAUAAGAUACAAGCAACCAUGUAAUGCUCGAUCCUCCAUAUGAUGCUCCUUUGAGAGGUUGAAUAUUGUGGAAACUAUAGGUGUAUGGGCCUUUUACAACAGCUCCGAAAAUGGUUCUUCUUCCCACAUUUUGAACAUACUUUUCCCAGUGCCGAACAAAUAACUCGUUCUAAAGGAUGAAUCGAACUGCAGAACUUACUAAGUUUUGGUUCUUUUUUAUUACGGGUAUGGAACUUCCUAUUAGCCAUCCCAAGUUCUUUUGCUCCAUGGUGUUCCGAUAACAACACCGAAUUCUGGGAUUUUGAUUCCAUGUCGACUGUUGUUGAGAUUGUAUUCUCCACUGACCGAUCCAACCGCAGUACCCCAUCCAGCUUCCUGAAGCCUUUUUCGAACGUGGCAUGCCGUAGUUUAUUAAACGAUGUGUUUUUUAAUAGUAUGCCAAGGAUAAUUUUGUCCUCAUAAGACACAUUACAACUGCUACAAUCGAAUUUACAAAACCACGAUUAUUUCUUUAGCCGUGUAAUAAAGUCAUCCAGAGGCUCAAACUUGUUUUUUUUUUCUUCAAUACCCUUAGCCUGAAUCGUUUCCCUAUUAUUGACUCCACAGGAGAAAAGACAUCAGUUACCGUCCUUACCAAUGCCGUAUAGCAGUCUUCAUUCUCUUUUUCUUCCACGAAUAGGGUCUUCUUCCACUGCUGAACCUAGGGGCCAGCACAAUUUAAAAUAAGUAACAGCUUCCGUUCGUUAGGCAUACUCCCCAUCAAGGAAACGUAUUUGUUGAAUUCGUCGAUCCACGAGGCCCAACGAUGGCCCUUUCGGGCUCCUGCCAUUUCAAAUUGUUCCAGCUGCGAGAACAAAAGUAUAAUUUGCAGUGUCUCAAAAAGGAUAUAUUAUAAUAAUUAGUAUAUAGAAACUAAUUAUAACUUGUCGAAGAAUUCAAAAUAUGUAAUCCAGACUCAAUUUUGAGAAAAAUCGUUCUAAUUUGCUUUUAUGUCGACAGAUCCCAUAAAUAAAAUAUACAACAACUUUGUUGGAAUACAUAA